ACAACGAAACCCGAUUUCGGUUUCGAAACUUUAAUAAAUUCAUUUUUUAGUAAAAUUGUAGCUUAUUUCCCAUAGAAAAUACUUAAUAGCAGAGGCUUAAAUGUCUGAGGCCUGCACUUGGUGUUAAAAAAUCAUCAAAAUUAAAGGCGUUACCAAUAAGGAAUCGAAGGACAAAUAUAAAAUAAAAAAAUAGUCAAAGAACGAGAGUCUAGUAAUACUUUUACACAAAAAGAAAACAACGACAGAUGUGACAUACAGAAUUAUAGACAUAAUAUAUCGUUGCUCAGUCAUACAAACUAUUUACGAGAAUUAAUAACAACCGCUUGGCCUACAAAAUGGACAAUUACCAACCGGUGGAACAGGCUGGCUUUAUGAUGUGAGCCAUAUAACAAGCUAUUAUUAAUUCUAGAAUAGAUUUAAGAUAUAGGCAACUAAUGCAUAACAUAUAAUAUGAAAAUGCAACUAUGAUAGUACAACUAGACGGAGAUAUAAAUCCCAUCCCCACUAAGAGAGGAGUGAGACAAGGAUACGUAAUAUUACAGAGUGCGGAUAUUACUAGAAGAGUAAGAAUAGCAUGGACAGGAUUUCGCAAUUUUAAUUGAAUACAUAAGAACCGCAAAAUACCCCAAUACUUAAAGAACAAAGUGUUCAACCAGUGCACCCUUCCUAUAAUGUCAUACGGAUGUCAAACCUAGACCCUAAUCAAGGCAAAUAUGAAUAAUCUAGCCAAAACAGAAAGAGCAAUGGGAAUAGCGAUGUUGGUAUACAACUGUCAGAUAAAAAGAGGAACGACUGAGUAACUUAAAAAAGUUAGGGACAUAACAACAAAAAUUGCCAAACUUAAAUGGAGCUUCGCAGGCCACACUGCUAGACAAAAAGACCAACGUUGGAAUGCAACAGUACAACAUUGGAGACCUUACCAAAGUAAACGACCGAGAGGAAGACCACAGAUGAGAUGGGUUGAUGAUAUUAAAGGAGUAGCUGGAGCAAAUUGGAAAUAUGUUGCUCAUGAUAGAUAUCGAUGGAAGGAGUUAGGAGAUGUCUAGGUCUCAACUUGGACGAUGGAAGGCUAAGAAGAAAAGAAGAAGAGUACCUUAUAUACGUAAGGCUCCAUUGGUACACUGUUGUGCUUAGUUUUUCUAUGUUAUUGUAUUCUAUUCGUUAAACCCUCUCAAAACAAACUCUCUAUAGCAUCCUAAAGCCUUUUUGUCACAGUUACAAUGUUUAAUUUUUUCUAUGUCAUUGUUCCUCUCGAAUUCUGCGCUUUUCUACAAGCCGUUGUACAUUCACGUACCUUCAGCUGUUUGGGCACUACAUGCAUAAGGCGCCUUUGGUUAUCCAGUAUCGAACCCAUAACCAUUCACUAUUUCCUUUUUGAGCUACCCUCUUUUCAACGAUAAGUUGUUCUAUACACACCACAAACCGCUCAAACGAUGACCAGAAUGAAUUUUAGACCUUGGUGGAGGCAGAUAAUGUUAAUUCUUACAGGCGCAAUGCGCCUUGCGCAUCCUCAAAAUCACAGUUUUUGCUCCCUUUGGUUAUCCACUCUCGAACCCCAACCAUGCAGUAUUUACUUCUUGAACUACUCUUUUUUUACGAGGUCUCAUACGUUCCUAUCUAAUGAGUAGUUCUACCCACACCACGAAACUAGUGAUGUUGAUUAUAGUUACUUUCGAGUAUUCGUUACAAAUCGCUACUUUUGUAUAAAGAAAUCAUUUACAGUAUUCGUUACUUUGAUUACUAUGAUUACUUUUGUAUUUGAGUACCGGUAAUCAUAUCGAGAAUCGUAUUUCUCAGUAGGUAGCUAUUUUGUAUAGGUAUUCCGAUAUAACAACGACCUUCACCGAUCUGUUUAAGGGAUUAAAAUGAUUUGAUUACUAUGAUUACUUUUGGUACUUUUGUAUUUGAGUACUGGUAAUCAUAUCGCAAAUCGUAUUUCUCAGUAGGUAGGUAUUUUGUAUAGAUAUUCCGAUAUAAUAACGACCUUCACAAAGUACAAAGUAAUCAGAGUAAUCAAAGUAAUCAAAGUAGAUGCAAUAGUCGUUACUCGCUCUGUUACGAUUGGUACGAAGUAAUCAGAGUAAUCAAAAUAAUCAAAGUAGAUAUAAUAGUCGUUACUCGCUUUGAUACGAUUGGUAUGAAGUAACGAAGUAAUCAGAGUAAUCAAAGUAAUCAAAGUAGAUACAAUAGUCGUUACUCGCUCUAAUACGAUUGGUAUGAAGUAAUGAAGUAAUCAGAGUAAUCAAAGUAAUCAAAGUAGAUACAAUAGUCAUUACUAGCUCUGAUACGAUUGGUACGAAGUAACGAAGUAAUCAGAGUAAUCAAAGUAACGAUUUUCUGUAUAGUAAUCGUUACUUUCGGUAUUCGUAAGUAACGAGUACUUUGUAACGAAUAGUUACUUUUUCAACAUCACUACAUGAAACGCUCAAAAAAUUACCAAAAUGAAACUUAUAUUUUUUUGGAGGAGGCAGCCGUUAAAUCUUUCGUAUUCACCAAAUCACAGUUUUAGGUCCCGUCUCAAUGCUGCUUAAUUAAAGGUUCCUUUUGUUAUACACUUUGGAACCCCAUUCAAUAUUUCCUUCUUGAGUUAUUCUCUUUUCAACGAGGUCUCAUACGUUCCUAUUCAACAAGCGUUCCUAUCCCAUCCACAAAACACUCAAAAAAUGACCAGAAUGAAACUUAGAUUUUGGUGGAGGUGAACCAAGUUAAUUAUUAUAGGCACAUCAGUUCGCAUAUUGUCUCGUAUCAAUGCUGCCUAAUUGCUACAUGAACAAAAAAAAAUUGAAGUGAAGUAUUGAAAUAAAAUAUAAUAAAAGGUAACGGAUUUUGCUCUAUUAUUAGUUGCUGAUAAUAUAGGCUAUUGAUUAUGUUCAAAAUAAGAGAGCUAAAAGGAACUAUAACGUUAACGGGAUUUUAUUAUUUCAUAUUAUGGUCAAUGGACCUCUAAAUUUAAAAAAACCGUAAAGUACUACCAUUUAAAUGUGUGCGUUUUUGAGAAAGGGGUAAAUUAGUCCCUAGGUACAGGGUGAAUUAGGGUGAAUUCUAUGCACUUUUGGUACAAACACGUCUACAGGAAAAUUGUUUUCGGGUUAAAUUUAGUAUCGAAAUAUCACAUUUCAAAGUCAAAAAUAUUUUUUUAACCAAAAUAUAUAUUAAAAAAAAUGCAAUAAAAAAACACAAAAGAAAGCAUUUUUGUUAUAUACCAGUGAUAUAGGUAUAGGUAUUGCUUCAGCGAAAAAUAAUUUCCAUCCGUCCUCUUGAAAAUGACGUUUGGUAAAAGUUUCUGGGAUUUACAGUUUCCAAAAUAGGAUUUUUCAAACUUCGCCGCUCACAGCAUUUUUGGGCCAUUUUUCCCCAUUAUUUCACAAGCAUUGUUCUGUAACUUUUUUCUACGCAUUUAUAGGUAUAUGCAAUGCUACAUCUAUUAUAAAGAGAAGUCAAUUACUUUUAAAAUGGUCUAUCGUAUAAGAUUGUGCGACUAUUCUUAAGCAAGUUGUGUUUUUUAAGGUUUUAUAGGUACUUUGAAUGAUUUUUGAUAUUUUUUAUGAUUAUUGUUUAAACUUCUCGUUAUGGCUUUUUUCUUGUAUAUUUAGGUAUAUACAUUCUGGAAUAAAAUAGCUUAUCUUCUUUACUUUAAAAUGGUGUAUUUCAAAAAAUUCUAGGACUGUUUAACAAGAAAUUCGUAGGAUAUCCAAGGGUAUCCGUAAUUUGAAAAAAAAAUUAAUUCUUUUUAUUUUUUUAAUUACAACUAUAUAAUUGCAUAUUAUAGCAUAAUUAUCAAUUCCAAAUAACUUUUCUUAAAAAAACUUUUUGAUAUUGUGAAAUAUAAAGGUACUUUACUCUUGAGCGAAAUUCAUAUUUUUUAACAUACCUACCUCGUACACUAUUGAUAAAAUUUUAUAUCUGAUAAUUGCGUUUUAGGUUUUAGACUAGGCAGAACAUUUUAUAAGGAAUAAUUUUUUUUCAUAAAGUUAAUAAAAAGGUUUUCCAUAUGGUUCCAACUUAGUGGGACCUAUUGCAUGUGUAUAUGUCACAUUUUGAAAAAGCAUACCUUGUUUAGAAAUAGUCGUAGAAUUAUUUACAAUGCAACAUUUUAAAGUAAAGAAGAUAAGCUUUCUUUUUUAUUUGACAAUUUAUAUACCUAAAUAUGCAACAAAAAAGUUAUAAUGAAAAAUUUAAAAUAAUCUUAAAAUAUAUCAAAAAUCAUUAAAAAUAUAAGAUUUUAAAAAACCAUAUCUUGUUUAAAAAUAGUCACACAGCCUUCUACACUAGACCAUUUUAAAGGUAAUGGAAUUUUCUUCCUAUUAAAUGUAACAUUGGAUAUUCGCAGUGUGCAAGUACUUGGAAGGGAUACGUGAAACGAUCGUGCGCGAAUAGCGGACAAAUAUUGCAACUUUCUUAAGUAAUUCAUAUUGUCAAUUUAAAUUGUCAAAUUGACGUACAUUUCAUAUCUACUGUCAUUGAAGAAGAAAAAUGAUAUGUUGGUCCACAAUAUUGAUAUGAUAUGCAAUUAUUAUAUAAAAGUAAAUUUAAUUAAUUGUAUUUUACUUGCAGUACUGCAUUUUAAUAACUAAUUUUAUUUACUACAUACAAUUGUUUAAGUUUUAAUAACAUAACCUGAAUCUUAUUUUUUCUUCUUAUAAUUUUUUUGGACUAUGGCCUUGACAAUUUUCCAGUAACCAGGACUAAUAUAAUUGGACAAUAUAAUUAAAGGUGCGAAUAAAGUUGCAGAGCGUAGAAAUAGGUGUCGCUUUGCCGAACUUGCACGGUCCCAAUACCUAAAGCUGAGUCGAAAAAAGUUACAAAACAAUGUUUGCGAAGUAACAAGUAAAAUGACUCAAAAUCGCUGUGAGUGACGAAAUUUGAAAAGUCAUAUUUUGAAAACUGCAAAUCAUAGAGGCUUCUACUAAACGACAUUUUAAAGAGGCGAGACGGAAAAUAUUAUUCGCUGAAGCAAUACCUAUACCUAUAUCACUGUGGAAAAAAGUUAUGGAGCAAAAAACAAAAUUGGUUUCCUUCGUGUUUUUUUCUUGCUUUCCUUUUGCAAAUAUUUUUGUAAAAAAAAAUAUUUUUGACUUUGAAAUGUGAUAUUUUGAUAGUAAAUUUAACCUAGAACAAUUUUCCUGUAAACGUGUUUGUACCAAAAGUGCAUAGAACUCACCCUGUGCCUAGGGACUAAUUCACCCCUUUCUCAAAAACGCACAUCUCUAAAUGGUAGCACCCCACGGUUUUUUCAUAUUUAGAUGUCCAAUGACUAUAUGAAACAAUAAAACCUGUUAACGUUUUAGUUCAUUUCUAAAAUAUAUAAUUAAUAGCCUAAUUGUAAAACUAUACAAAACGGCAACUGCUAAUAAACUCAAUAGUUUUAAUAUAAUAUUUCCCAAAAAAAUGGCCGAUUUAACGAUUAAAAUUGUACUGUCUUCCGAUCGUUUUAUUUUGGCAAAAUCUAUAACACCCUUUUAUUUGAAAUUCCUUUAAAGAAAAAGUUAUUGUUCCUUAUUUAUUAUCUUGGAUUGUUUUAUUAAAUUUCUCAUUAGAGCAAUGUUAUUAUUUUUGGAUUGUUUUAGUAAAUUACGUAUUAGAGCAAUGUUAUUGUUUUAUGUUCUAAUGAACGUCUAAGGCUUUAAUAUUUUGCCGUUAUUAAAAAAUUGUCAAAAAUAAUAUGUUUCCAUUGUAAAACAGAUGGAUGUAGACGUAAAAUGAUUGUUAAUUUGUUAUAUGAAGUAUAUAUUGUGUAAUAAAAUAUGUAAACACUA